AGUAAAUGGACACCUCGAGGCAGUAAUUCAAUGAUUGAGGCGAUUGUCAUUCACUCGCAAAGAACAUGGGAUGCCUGUAUUAUUACAAUAAUACCUAGUACAGCAAAAAAGAUCUAAUAGAGUUAAUUUCUUCUCACAUAUGGGGAAUAAUAAAAAGAAAAAAUAUAAAUGCUGUUCAGCGUUUAAUUGCUUAGCCUCAAACCGUGAUACAAAUUUAUCCUUCUUCUAUCUUCCUCAGGAUGUCGAGAGAAGGCGACAGUGGCUCACAGCAAUUGGCAGGGAAGAUCUUUUGUCAAAGGAUAACUUAAAGCCAACAAGUUAUGUGGUUUGCGCAUCUCAUUUUAAAAAAUCAGAUUUUGUAUAUAUCCCUAGACUGCGUGAUAAUGCGUUGCCAGCAAUAUCUGUACAUGAACAAUAUGAUAAAAAUACAUUUCUCGUUGACGUUCCUACGCAAACCGAAACAGAAAUUGAAAUUACUACUAAAAAGAACGUAAAUAAUGUUACGACGUCUUCCUCUGAAACACAAACGGAAUCAAUAAAAUUACAACAAGAGGAAACGCAGACUUCAACAUCACUGCCCGCGAAGACUCAACGUAAACGUAAACUUUCAAAUGAGCUUGGAAAAAAGAUCAAAAUAAUUCUGUAUUAAAACAUAGAGACGACCCUGAGUAUAGUCAGUCAUAAUAGAGAAGAUAAAGUCGGAAAAUUAUACGUAAAAUUAAUUAAUUAGCUCAAUAAAUUAUUUAUUUACAUUAAAAGCUAAACAUAACUUCGACUUUAUCAUAAGUGGCUAAGGAUGGAAUUUCCACGGCGGAACAAAAUGGUUACAUGUACAUAUGGCGGAAUCUGGGAUGUUUUGAUGUUUCAACGUAAGAGCGGCAACCUCGCACGACCGGAGCACGUAUUGAUUCAAUCUAUAAAUGGAUUGAGGAUUCGUUGCUUAUACAUACUUGUUUUGAACAGGGACUCAGAUAUUGAGAAAUAACAAGUAAUAACGGCAUACAGUGGAAUAUUAUUAUAUUUAUUUGAACUUUUCUUAGCGUUUGGAUUGCUUGUUGAUGAGCGAGACAGGCCUUUUAUAUUCUUAUCUUUAUGAGGUAAAUAUUUUUGAUCCAGAUAAACCCAUCCAGUAAAAACAUGUACCUACCUAUCGUAGAAUUAAUAUCUACGUAGUUGAAUGUUGAAUGUCGCGGAAUUAAAUAAGUAAAUGAA